GUCUUUUAGAUUAUAAUUUAAAGUCUAACCUGCCCACUGAAAUUUUAAAGGGCCGCAGUAUUUUAACUGUGCAAAGGUAGCAUAAUAAUUAGUUUCUUAAUUAGAAGCUGGUAUGAAUGGUUGAACGAGAAAUUAACUGUCUCGAUUUAUAAGUUAGAAUUUUAUUUUUAAGUUAAAAAGCUUAAAUAUAUUUAAAAGACGAGAAGACCCUAUAGAGUUUUAUAAUUUAUAAAAUUUAAAUUUUAGAAUUUUGUCUUAUUUUAUUAAUUAUUUUGUUGGGGUGAUAUAUAAAUUUAUAAAACUUUAUAUUUUUAUUAACAUAAAUUUAUGAAUUAUUGAUCCAUUAUUAAUGAUUAAAAGAAAAAAUUACCUUAGGGAUAACAGCGUUAUUUUUUUUAAGAGUUCAAAUCGAAAAAAAAGAUUGCGACCUCGAUGUUGGAUUAAAGUUAAUUUUUGGUGUAGAAGCUAUAAAAUUAGGUCUGUUCGACCUUUAAAACUUUACAUGAUCUGAGUUUAAACCGGUGUGAGCCAGGUUGGUUUCUAUCUUUAAAUAAAAUAAAUAUUUUAGUACGAAAGGACCAAGUAUUUUUAAUAAUUAAUUUAUUUGAAUA
rnacentral:rRNA from 1 species